rnacentral:rRNA from 1 species
UACGUAGGGGGCGAGCGUUGUCCGGAUUUAUUGGGCGUAAAGAGCUCGUAGGCGGUUCGAUAAGUCGGACGUGAAAUCUCCACGCUCAACGUGGAGGGGCCGUUCGAUACUGUCGUGACUCGAGUCCGGUAGGGGAGUGUGGAAUUCCCGGUGUAGCGGUGAAAUGCGCAGAGAUCGGGAGGAACACCAGUGGCGCAGGCGGCGUCCUGGACCGGCACUGACGCUGAGGAGCGAAAGCGUGGGGAGCGAUCCGG